CACUGAUCCAGCAUCAGCGCCAGCUCUUUUAGGGUCUGACAUGCUGUAAUAACACAGUACAGACAGAUGUGCUGUUAACACAACACAACAACAGCAACAUGCUCCAGGACAGCGAAAACUGCAGAAAAACAGUUCUCGGCUGCUUCAUGUCAUGGCACUGCACGACGUCACCAGGAAGAGCAUUUAGGUUUUUCAAAAUAAGAGCCCCCUUUUUUGAAAACAGCACUCAGGUGUCUAAUUUCUAUAUGGCGCAGGUGUCAAACUCCUGAAGGGCCACGGCUCUGCACAGUUUAACUUUAACCCCAAUUAAAAUACACUUGAUCAAA